rnacentral:rRNA from 1 species
GACGAACGCUGGCGGCGUGCUUAACACAUGCAAGUCGAGCGGUAAGGCCCUUUCGGGGGUACACGAGCGGCGAACGGGUGAGUAACACGUGGGUGACCUGCCCUCAGCUCUGGGAUAAGCCUGGGAAACCGGGUCUAAUACUGGAUAUGACUCCAUGACGCAUGUUGUGGGGUGGAAAGCCUUGUGCGGCUGAGGAUGGGCCCGCGGCCUAUCGGCUUGUUGGUGGGGUGAUGGCCUACCAAGGCGACGACGGGUAGCCGGCCUGAGAGGGCGACCGGCCACACUGGGGACUGAGACACGGCCCAGACUCCUACGGGAGGCAGCAGUGGGUAAUCUUGCGACAAUGGGACGAAAGCCUGACGCAGCGACGCGCGUGA